rnacentral:rRNA from 1 species
UACGGAGGGUGCGAGCGUUGUUCGGAAUUAUUGGGCGUAAAGCGCGCGCAGGCGGCUCUCUAAGUCCAUGGGUAAAAGGCCGGGGCUCAACCCCGUGUACGCCCAGGAUACUGGGGAGCUGGAGACACGUAGAGGCAAGCGGAAUUCCGGGUGUAGCGGUGGAAUGCGUAGAGAUCCGGAAGAACACCGGAGGCGAAGGCGGCUUGCUGGGCGUGAUCUGACGCUGAGGCGCGAAAGCUAGGGGAGCAAACGGG